UACGGAGGGUGCAAGCGUUAUCCGGAUUUACUGGGUUUAAAGGGUGCGUAGGCGGCUUUUUAAGUCAGUGGUGAAAUCCUAGUGCUUAACACUAGAACGGCCAUUGAUACUGGGAGGCUUGAGUCAAGGAGAGGUAAGCAGAAUUUAUGGUGUAGCAGUGAAAUGCUUAGAUACCAUAAGGAAUACCAAUAGCGAAGGCAGCUUACUGGCCUUGUACUGACGCUGAGGCACGAAAGCGUGGGGAGCAAACAGG
rnacentral:rRNA from 1 species